rnacentral:rRNA from 1 species
ACGGGAGGCAGCAGUGGGGAAUAUUGGGCAAUGGGCGAAAGCCUGACCCAGCGACGCCGCGUGAAGGAAGAAGGUCUUCGGAUUGUAAACUUUUGUCAUCAGGGAAGAAGAAAGUGACGGUACCUGAUAAGAAAGCCACGGCUAACUACGUGCCAGCAGCCGCGGUAAUACGUAGGUGGCGAGCGUUAUCCGGAUUUACUGGGUGUAAAGGGUGUGUAGGCGGACUGACAAGUCAGGUGUGAAAUCCAUCGGCUUAACCGAUGAACUGCACUUGAAACUGCCAGCCUUGAGGGUCGGAGAGGUAAGCGGAAUUCCCAGUGUAGCGGUGAAAUGCGUAGAUAUUGGGAGGAACACCAGUGGCGAAGGCGGCUUACUGGACGACAACUGACGCUGAGACACGAAAGCGUGGGGAGCAAACAGGAUUAGAUACCCUGGUA